AGGGGGAUAACAUCCGGAAACGGGUGCUAAUACCGCAUAGUUUUCUUGAUCGCAUGAAUCGGGAAAGGAAAGACGGCCUUUGUGCUGUCGCUUAUGGAUGGACCCGCGGCGUAUUAGUUAGUUGGUGAGGUAACGGCUCACCAAGACGAUGAUACGUAGCCGACCUGAGAGGGUGAUCGGCCACAUUGGGACUGAGACACGGCCCAAACUCCUACGGGAGGCAGGCAGUAGGGAAUCUUCCGCAAUGGACGAAAGUCUGACGGAGCAACGCCGCGUGAGUGAAAAGAAGGUUUUCGGAUCGUAAAACUCUGUUGUCAGAGAAGAACAAGUUGGAGAGUAACUGCUCCAGCCUUGACGGUAUCUGACCAGAAAGCCACGGCUAACUACGUGCCAGCCGCCGC
rnacentral:rRNA from 1 species